rnacentral:rRNA from 1 species
UACGGGGGGAGCAAGCGUUGUUCGGAUUUACUGGGCGUAAAGGCGCGUAGGCGGCCACCGCAAGUCGACUGUGAAAUCUCCGGGCUUAACUCGGAAAGGUCAGCCGAUACUGCGGGGCUAGAGUGCAGAAGGGGCAACUGGAAUUCUCGGUGUAGCGGUGAAAUGCGUAGAUAUCAGGAGGAAUACCGGUGGCGAAAGCGACUCUCUGGACGGCAACUGACGCUGAGGCACGAAAGCGUGGGGAGCAAACAGG